rnacentral:misc_RNA from 1 species
CCCAAGCUCGAAGCGAUAUGUGAGCGCACCCCUGAUAAGGGUGAGGUCGGUAGUUCGACUCUACCCAGGCCCACCAUCUUAGCCAAGCACCUUCACGGGGCUGUAGCUCAGCUGGGAGAGCACCUGCUUUGCAAGCAGGGGGUCACCGGUUCGAUCCCGGUCAGCUCCACCAAAUCCUAUUCGGCUGCUUCCAGAUCGGGGCCUUCGGCAUUCAUGUUGAAGACUUCAAUCUGGAAGCAGGCUGGUGAUUCAGUCGGUCUUUAACUGAAUCUGUCCGGCAGGUUUCAACGGCCCCAGGGCCGGUCCUUCUCGCGAAAGAGAAGGUUUGGAUGUUUGACAACGAAAUUGAUUGGGUAACGCGAUUGGAGAGCUGCGUGUCCGCCGUGAGGCGCACAGGUCAGCAGCAAAAGUUUCCAAGAGCGUAUACAUACAAGGCCGAGCACAAGCAUGAGUCAGCAAUGAUUCAGGCAAGUGUUCAAGUAAGAAGAGUGUCUUUAGGAGAUGUAAUUCGAACCCGCGUGAGCGUGGUCGAGUUACUCUCAAGGCGAAUAACUGGGACUAACUUGAGGCAGGACUGAAGUGAUUCAGCUCCCUGCGCUGGAGUUAAUUCUAUGGUCAAGCUACUAAGGGCGCACGGUGGAUGCCUUGGCAGAGACAGGCGAUGAAGGACGUGGCAAGCUGCGAUAAGCUUCGGUAAGCCGCACACAGGCGUUAUAACCGGAGAUUU